GGAGUUAUAGCUCAGUGGUAGAGCACAUGCUUAGCUUGCACAAGGUCCUGGGGUCAAUCUCCAGUACUUCCA
rnacentral:tRNA from 1 species